UUUGGUGGAAAAGGUUUGCAUAAAAAAAUCAAUUCCCGUAUUCGUUUAGUGCAAAAAUCUUAUUGUAUUAAAAUUUCAGGGGGUGGAUGGGGUGGAGGAAUCGUAGGUGAGUUAUACAUUAAUAACCACUGCUUAUUACAUAAAUGAAUUGUAUAAUUUGCCACUAAAAAAUUUCAGAGCAUCAUCACCACGGAAAAAUUGAAAUUUUGGAAGGUGAAGGAGGAGGAGGUGGAUUUCAUGGAGGUGGCAUUGGAGCGUACGGACCUCACAAAUGAACUCCUUACUGAUGAUCAAAAUUAUAUUCAAUACGAAAGCUCCAAAGAUUUACAACCAAUAUAACAAGACUGAAACAUGCAUACCGUCAGCGUCAAAGUCAAAAUACAAAAUGCGUACAUAUAAAAAAUAUCCUGAAAUAAAAGCUUGGAAUAUUACAAAAAACGA